UUUUUUUUUUUUUUAUUUUUACCCGCAGACGAACGCUGGCGGCGUGCCUAAUACAUGCAAGUCGUACGCUUCUUUUUCCACCGGAGCUUGCUCCACCGGAAAAAGAGGAGUGGCGAACGGGUGAGUAACACGUGGGUAACCUGCCCAUCAGAAGGGGAUAACACUUGGAAACAGGUGCUAAUACCGUAUAACAAUCGAAACCGCAUGGUUUUGAUUUGAAAGGCGCUUUCGGGUGUCGCUGAUGGAUGGACCCGCGGUGCAUUAGCUAGUUGGUGAGGUAACGGCUCACCAAGGCCACGAUGCAUAGCCGACCUGAGAGGGUGAUCGGCCACAUUGGGACUGAGACACGGCCCAAACUCCUACGGGAGGCAGCAGUAGGGAAUCUUCGGCAAUGGACGAAAGUCUGACCGAGCAACGCCGCGUGAGUGAAGAAGGUUUUCGGAUCGUAAAACUCUGUUGUUAGAGAAGAAUAAGGAUGAGAGUAACUGUUCAUCCCUUGACGGUAUCUAACCAGAAAGCCACGGCUAACUACGUGCCAGCAGCCGCGGUAAUACGUAGGUGGCAAGCGUUGUCCGGAUUUAUUGGGCGUAAAGCGAGCGCAGGCGGUUUCUUAAGUCUGAUGUGAAAGCCCCCGGCUCAACCGGGGAGGGUCAUUGGAAACUGGGAGACUUGAGUGCAGAAGAGGAGAGUGGAAUUCCAUGUGUAGCGGUGAAAUGCGUAGAUAUAUGGAGGAACACCAGUGGCGAAGGCGGCUCUCUGGUCUGUAACUGACGCUGAGGCUCGAAAGCGUGGGGAGCAAACAGGAUUAGAUACCCUGGUAGUCCACGCCGUAAACGAUGAGUGCUAAGUGUUGGAGGGUUUCCGCCCUUCAGUGCGCAGCUAACGCAUUAAGCACCCUCGUGGAGCUACGGAGGCGGGCUCCCCCCU
rnacentral:rRNA from 1 species